AGAGUUUGAUCAUGGCUCAGGAUGAACGCUAGCGGCAGGCCUAACACAUGCAAGUCGAGGGGCAGCACGGGUAGCAAUACCUGGUGGCGACCGGCGCACGGGUGAGUAACGCGUAUGCAACCUACCCUUAACAGGGGAAUAGCCCGAAGAAAUUCGGAUUAAUGUCCCAUAAGAUAUAUGAAUCGCCUGGUUUAUAUAUUAAAACUCCGGUGGUUAAGGAUGGGCAUGCGUGACAUUAGCUAGUUGGUGAGGUAACGGCUCACCAAGGCGACGAUGUCUAGGGGGCCUGAGAGGGUAGUCCCCCACACUGGUACUGAGACACGGACCAGACUCCUACGGGAGGCAGCAGUGAGGAAUAUUGCGCAAUGGAGGCAACUCUGACGCAGCCAUGCCGCGUGCAGGAAGACGGUCCUAUGGAUUGUAAACUGCUUUUAUACGGGAAUAAUCCCUGGUACGUGUACUGGGUUGAAUGUACCGUAAGAAUAAGCAUCGGCUAACUCCGUGCCAGCAGCCGCGGUAAUACGGAGGAUGCAAGCGUUAUCCGGAUUUAUUGGGUUUAAAGGGUGCGUAGGCGGGAUUGUAAGUCAGUGGUGAAAUCUUGCAGCUUAACUGUAAAAUUGCCAUUGAUACUGCUAUUCUUGAGUACAGUUGAGGUAGGCGGAAUGUGUAAUGUAGCGGUGAAAUGCUUAGAUAUUACACAGAACACCGAUUGCGUAGGCAGCUUACUAAGCUGUAACUGACGCUGAGGCACGAAAGCGUGGGUAGCGAACAGGAUUAGAUACCCUAGUAGUCC
rnacentral:rRNA from 1 species